rnacentral:misc_RNA from 1 species
CGCACAUUGCGCCUGCUGGUAUUCCGGCAGGCAUGUCUGUUUGAGCGUCAGCAAACACCCUCAGCGAUAGAUUUUAUUAUCUGUCCGCUGGUCUUGGGCCUGGACGUAAGGUGCUUCGGUGCCGCCGCCUGCCCUAAACUUGCUGCACGACCGCUGGCUUCGGCUGGGUCAAUGGAGUGGUGUCACAAUCUUCCAGAAGGCCUUCUGCUGCUUGCUUGGUGGCGUUAAACCUCACACUAGAGUUUUGACCUCAGAUCAGAUAAGGAUACCCGCUGAACUUAA